CCUACGGGUGGGCAGCAGUGGGGAAUAUUGGACAAUGGGCGAAAGCCUGAUCCAGCCAUGCCGCGUGUGUGAAGAAGGCCUUCGGGUUGUAAAGCACUUUCAGUGGGGAAGAAAGCCUUGGGGCUAAUACCCUCGAGGAAGGACAUCACCCACAGAAGAAUCACCGGCUAACUCCGUGCCAGCAGCCGCGGUAAUACGGAGGGUGCGAGCGUUAAUCGGAAUUACUGGGCGUAAAGCGCGCGUAGGCGGUCUGAUAAGCCGGUUGUGAAAGCCCCGGGCUCAACCUGGGAACGGCAUCCGGAACUGUCAGGCUAGAGUGCAGGAGAGGAAGGUAGAAUUCCCGGUGUAGCGGUGAAAUGCGUAGAGAUCGGGAGGAAUACCAGUGGCGAAGGCGGCCUUCUGGACUGACACUGACGCUGAGGUGCGAAAGCGUGGGUAGCAAACAGGAUUAGAUACCCCGGUAGUC
rnacentral:rRNA from 1 species